rnacentral:rRNA from 1 species
GCUGGCGGCGUGCUUAACACAUGCAAGUCUACGAGAAAGUUUUCUUCGGAAAGCGAUUAAAGUGGCGCACGGGUGAGUAACACGUAAGUAAUCUACCUUUAGGUCUGGAAUAACUUCGAGAAAUCGAAGCUAAUACCGGAUGAUGCAGCGGCACCACAUGGUGAUGUUGUUAAAGUCUAUAUGGCGCCUAUCGAUGAGCUUGCGUCUGAUUAGUUAGUUGGUGAGGUAAAAGCUCACCAAGACUGCGAUCAGUAGCUGGUCUGAGAGGAUGAUCAGCCACACUGGAACUGAGACACGGUCCAGACUCCUACGGGAGGCAGCAGUGAGGAAUAUUGGGCAAUGGGCGAAAGCCUGACCCAGCAACGCCGCGUGGAGGAUGAAUGUCGUAAGAUUGUAAACUCCUGUUAGAGGGGAAGAAUAAUCCCGAUCAAAUCGGGACUUGACUGUACCCUCAGAGAAAGCUCCGGCUAACUACGUGCCAGCAGCCGCGGUAAUACGUAGGGAGCGAGCGUUGUCCGGAUUUACUGGGUGUAAAGGGCGCGCAGGCGGGUUAGUAAGUCAGAGGUGAAAUCCUACAGCUUAACUGUAGAACUGCCUUUGAUACUGCUAAUCUUGAGUAUGGAAGAGAGAGACGGAAUU